rnacentral:tRNA from 1 species
UCCCUGGUGGUUUAGUGGUUAGGAUUUGGCGCUCUCAACACCGAAGCCCUGGUUCAAUUCCCAGUCAGGGAA